UAAAUCAACAGUCAAACAGUUCAGUUCGCUAAUCUCAAAGUUCAUCUUUCGUCUCCUCUGUUUUCGCUUCUCAAUAAACAAACAAAAAAACUCAUUCUCAAGAAAAAAAGGAAAAAAAAAAAGGAAGUAGAAAAAAUCUUGUUCCGCACUCUUUGCUUGUCUUGUACCAAUGUACGUUAGCUUGAGAACUGAUCAGAGAUGACAAUGGCAAAGUGUCACCGGAACAACAUCGGUUCCCUCAUUCACGACCCUCCUCCCACCACUUCCUCCGGCUACCACUUCCGCCUCUGGAGCACCUUCUCAAGAUCCGCAUUCAGAAGAAAGAUCUUAAACGCCGUUAGCUGCGGCGGGAGCUCGCGUUACCGUCACGAGCUCCGAGAAGAGGAGAAAGAAGAAAGAAGCUAC
rnacentral:lncRNA from 1 species